GGAGGGGGAUAACUACUGGAAACGGUAGCUAAUACCGCAUAACGUCGCAAGACCAAAGAGGGGGACCUUCGGGCCUCUUGCCAUCGGAUGUGCCCAGAUGGGAUUAGCUUGUAGGUGAGGUAACGGCUCACCUAGGCGACGAUCCCUAGCUGGUCUGAGAGGAUGACCAGCCACACUGGAACUGAGACACGGUCCAGACUCCUACGGGAGGCAGCAGUGGGGAAUAUUGCACAAUGGGCGCAAGCCUGAUGCAGCCAUGCCGCGUGUAUGAAGAAGGCCUUCGGGUUGUAAAGUACUUUCAGCGGGGAGGAAGGGAGUGAGGUUAAUAACCUCAUUCAUUGACGUUACCCGCAGAAGAAGCACCGGCUAACUCCGUGCCAGCAGCCGCGGUAAUACGGAGGGUGCGAGCGUUAAUCGGAAUUACUGGGCGUAAAGCGCACGCAGGCGGUCUGUCAAGUCGGAUGUGAAAUCCCCGGGCUCAACCUGGGAACUGCAUUCGAAACUGGCAGGCUGGAGUCUUGUAGAGGGGGGUAGAAUUCCAGGUGUAGCGGUGAAAUGCGUAGAGAUCUGGAGGAAUACCGGUGGCGAAGGCGGCCCCCUGGACAAAGACUGACGCUCAGGUGCGAAAGCGUGGGGAGCAAACAGGAUUAGAUACCCUGGUAGUCCACGCUGUAAACGAUGUCGACGUGGAGGUUGUUCCCUUGAGGAGUGGCUUCCGGAGCUA
rnacentral:rRNA from 1 species